rnacentral:tRNA from 1 species
CCGCGGCCUGGGCCGUGGUCAGCGAAGCCACCUGGGUGGAGGUCAGGGCAGCGACCUGGGUUGAAUCCAGGGCCACGAUC